GCCUUUUUAAAAGCAUUCCAUGGGCAUCUACUAAUGAUCCAUCAAGAAGGGGCAGAGGGAAAAAAACAUUUUGGUGAAGUGGCAGCAUGUUGUGUUGUUGUGCUUCAAUUAGUGCUGUUACACGA
ensembl:snoRNA